GUAGGUGGCGAGCGUUGUCCGGAAUUACUGGGCGUAAAGAGCGCGCAGGCGGCUGGUCAAGUCCGACGUGAAAUCUCCCGGCUUAACUGGGAAAUUGCAUCGGAAACUGAUCGGCUUGAAGGUGGGAGAGGGUAGCGGAAUUCCCGGUGUAGUGGUGAAAUGCGUAGAUAUCGGGAGGAACACCAGUGGCGAAGGCGGCUACCUGGCCCAUUCUUGACGCUGAGGCGCGAAAGCUAGGGGAGCAAACGGGAUUAGAUACCCCGGUAGUCCUAGCCGUAAACGAUGAACACUAGGCGUUGUCGGUAUCGACCCCGGCAGUGCCGAAGCCAACGCAUUAAGUGUUCCGCCUGGGGAGUACGGCCGCAAGGCUA
rnacentral:rRNA from 1 species